GACGAACGCUGGCGGCGUGCUUAACACAUGCAAGUCGAACGCUGAAGCUCAGCUUUUGUUGGGUGGAUGAGUGACGAACGGGUGAGUAACACGUGAGUAACCUGCCCCCUUCUUUGGGAUAACGCCCGGAAACGGGUGCUAAUACUGGAUAUUCACUGGUCUUCGCAUGGGGGUUGGUGGAAAGGGUUUUUCUGGUGGGGGAUGGGCUCGCGGCCUAUCAGCUUGUUGGUGGGGUGAUGGCCUACCAAGGCUUUGACGGGUAGCCGGCCUGAGAGGGUGACCGGUCACAUUGGGACUGAGAUACGGCCCAGACUCCUACGGGAGGCAGCAGUGGGGAAUAUUGCACAAUGGGCGCAAGCCUGAUGCAGCGACGCCGCGUGAGGGAUGGAGGCCUUCGGGUUGUGAACCUCUUUCGCUCAUGGUCAAGCCGCAACAAUGGUUGUGGUGAGGGUAGUGGGUAAAGAAGCGCCGGCUAACUACGUG
rnacentral:rRNA from 1 species